UACGUAGGGGGCAAGCGUUGUCCGGAUUUAUUGGGCGUAAAGAGCGUGUAGGCGGCCAGGGAGGUCCGUUGUGAAAACUCGAGGCUCAACCUCGAGACGCCGAUGGAAACCCCCUGGCUAGAGUCCGGAAGAGGAGAGUGGAAUUCCUGGUGUAGCGGUGAAAUGCGCAGAUAUCAGGAAGAACACCCGUGGCGAAGGCGGCUCUCUGGGACGGUACUGACGCUGAGACGCGAAAGCGUGGGGAGCGAACAGG
rnacentral:rRNA from 1 species